rnacentral:lncRNA from 1 species
GACGAUUUCAGUAUAUCACGAUAGUCUUUGUUUGACUUUGGUUAUUUUUAGAGUUUUUAUAAAUUAUUAUACGAUAAACGAUAUAACAUACUAUAGUAUUUUUAGUAAAUUACUGUUUAAAAUAAUACUGUUUAAAAUAAUAAUAAUAUUUUGACCGGGGAUCCCCGAAAUGACCGGGUACGGGGACGGGGACGAAUUUUGGAACCGGGGAACGCAAUCUCCACCUCAUCCCCGUCCCUGCUCACCCCUAGUAUUAGGGUUUGUAAGUUUCUGACACACCCUUGUAGCCGCUUAUGUAUUGUUUCAUCAAAUGGGCUUUCCUCCAACAAGCUCUUAUUCUUUUGGAUCUCUUUCUCAUCCUGGACGAUCCUCCACCUUGCUUGGUCCUCAAAUGUCUUCCACCUCUUAAGUACCCUCUUCACAUUGUUUAGCUUCUUGAUGAAUCACUACAAAAAAAAGUAGGCAGUUAGGACGAGCAAAG